AUGAAACGUUGAUUUGAACCAUCUGAGCAACUAGUGGGUCAGGCGGCGCCCCACUGUCUGAUUCAUAUCGCGUGAUUUCUGAUGAUAGUUCUCUAUUAUAUCGACUGAUUUGUUCUGUAUGGGGUGAAUAGGGUUUGUCUAGUGAACUUUGUGGAGUGGUUGAAGUGUCAGAUAAAAUAAGAACACUGGAGACUGAAAGUGAAACAGUUGAAGCUGAACAAUUUCAACUCCGUAGCAUUCGCUAACAUUCAAGAUAUCUAAUACGAAAAUAGCAUGGGGAAAGUCAAGAGGAAGCAGUGGAGUGAGGUGGACAUUUUUCUAUGCCAUGGAGGACUGUGGGGCAGGGAUGGCUAUCCACCAGGCUGCCAAGGUGCAUGGUGUACCUCUGCAGACCCUGGUGGACAGGCUGAGCAGCCGGGUGACCCAUGGUUGUAGCAGUGGACCACCCACAUUGCUUGCACCAGAGGAUGAAAAUGAUCUGGUGCAGUACUGUAUCUACUGCACCAGCCAUGGGUUCCCCUUCACCAGACAGAGGCUGAUGAAUACAGAAAAGGAAAAGAAAAGCUCCACCUGCCUGAAAACUACCCGCAAAAGUGUGAGUCUGAGGUGCCAGGUGUGUGCUGUGACUUCUGCCAGUACUGGUUCCACUGCAGGUGUGUGCUGUGACUUCUGCCAACACUGGUUCCACUGCAGGUGUGUGCUGUGACUUCUGCCAGUACUGGUUCCACUGCAGGUGUGUGCUGUGACUUCUGCCAACACUGGUUCCACUGCAGGUGUGUGCUGUGACGGUGGAGCUGGAUUUUAAUUGUGAUUUCUGUGACAAUAUAGGGAUGGUGGUUGAGAUAUAAUUGUUUGUUUUCAUAUGCAAUUAUUUAUUUGUAAAAAUAAUGACAUGUCUAAAAUAUAAUAUAUAUUUAUUCAA
rnacentral:lncRNA from 1 species